AUUUGAUUUCGUGGACAUUUAAUGAUAAGCUCAUUAAAUCGCUCCCAAUAUUCAUGGAACAUUUCACCUGAAUGUUGAUUGAUACCACAUAUUUCCUUCCUCAGAAU